rnacentral:rRNA from 1 species
GAUCCGGUGCUUGCACCGGGGAUUAGUGGCGAACGGGUGAGUAACACGUGAGUAACCUGCCCUUGACUCUGGGAUAAGCCUGGGAAACCGGGUCUAAUACCGGAUACGACCUUUCACCGCAUGGUGGUUGGUGGAAAGAUUUUUUGGUUUUGGAUGGACUCGCGGCCUAUCAGCUUGUUGGUGAGGUAAUGGCUCACCAAGGCGACGACGGGUAGCCGGCCUGAGAGGGUGACCGGCCACACUGGGACUGAGACACGGCCCAGACUCCUACGGGAGGCAGCAGUGGGGAAUAUUGCACAAUGGGCGAAAGCCUGAUGCAGCGACGCCGCGUGAGGGAUGACGGCCUUCGGGUUGUAAACCUCUUUCAGCAGGGAAGAAGCGAAAGUGACGGUACCUGCAGAAGAAGCGCCGGCUAACUACGUGCCAGCAGCCGCGGUAAUACGUAGGGCGCAAGCGUUGUCCGGAAUUAUUGGGCGUAAAGAGCUCGUAGGCGGUUUGUCGCGUCUGCUGUGAAAGCCCGGGGCUCAACCCCGGGUCUGCAGUGGGUACGGGCAGACUAGAGUGCAGUAGGGGAGACUGGAAUUCCUGGUGUAGCGGUGAAAUGCGCAGAUAUCAGGAGGAACACCGAUGGCGAAGGCAGGUCUCUGGGCUGUAACUGACGCUGAGGAGCGAAAGCAUGGGGAGCGAACAGGAUUAGAUACCCUGGUAGUCCAUGCCCUAAACGUUGGGCACUAGGUGUGGGGGACAUUCCACGU